UAUCAAUCAAUCAUAGGACCUACAUUAC
rnacentral:sRNA from 1 species